GUAGUUAUGUCAGAAUAUAUAUGAGUUAGCUUUAAGCGCUGAUUAUGGAUAGCAAUCCUAACUACU
rnacentral:tRNA from 1 species